GCAAACCUAUAACUGAAUGCAACUGAGUCAUCUGAAUACACUGCAGCAGUCCUCAAAUUAAGAGGAAGCCUAAAUCCUACCUUUUCACCUAUGAGAGCACGUAGGUACAUCCUAAGAGACAGCACUUGCAGAGCUCCCCUCUUUGGCAGCUGCGAGAAGCCACAGCCUGUAACAGAGGGAACUGGCAGCCCAUCCAAGGACAAGUCAUCCUCAGGGGAAACCAAGGCCACUGCACCAUCCAUGCUGUAACAUCAGCCACCCACUUCUGAGAGCAUCCUGGACAGGGUAUGGAGCCUGCCCUCAGUUUUCUCUGAUCUCCUGAAGGAUUCCUCUAAAUCUUCAGUAUCUGUUGUGAGCAGUAAAUCAACAGCAGAGCUCCCGAUGCCUUUACUGGGGAACAGGAUCAGCAUUUUUCCCUGUAAAGAGCCAGUGUUCUCCAGCCGUGUCGACACCUGGAAUUUUUGGCUGAGGAUCCUCACCACUGUGAACAUUUUGAUCAAUUGCUGGAUUCUGCAGUGGGAUUCUUCUUUGGAUUUUACCACAGGUAUUUUCUUUGUAAUUUCUUUGGCUGCAGUUCAUUUAGAAGUACUUGUACGUACUUCU
rnacentral:lncRNA from 1 species